rnacentral:tRNA from 1 species
GGUCUGUAGCUCAGGUGGUUAGAGCGCACCCCUGAUAAGGGUGAGGUCGGUGGUCAAGUCCACUCAGACCACCA